rnacentral:rRNA from 1 species
UACGUAGGGGGCAAGCGUUGUCCGGAAUUAUUGGGCGUAAAGAGCGUGUAGGCGGUCCGGUAAGUCAGCUGUGAAAGUCAAGGGCUCAACCCUUGAAUGCCGGUUGAUACUGUCGGGCUAGAGUCCGGAAGAGGCGAGUGGAAUUCCCGGUGUAGCGGUGAAAUGCGCAGAUAUCGGGAAGAACACCCGUGGCGAAGGCGGUUCUCUGGGACGGUACUGACGCUGAGACGCGAAAGCGUGGGGAGCGAACAGG